AAACAACUCGCAGAGGCGCAAAAGUAGCAGCUCUGCUUCUGGAGCCCAGACGAAGAGGAGAGAGCUCCAGGGCGCUCAGGACGCGCGGGAGAAUCUUUCCCAGAGCUUUCAGCCUAAGGAAGGGUUCAGCUUUCCAGCGUGCACCCGAGGCUUCCAGCUCAUCCGGAACCAAGGGACGGGCAAUUAUAGAGAAGGUGCUUGCUGAGGAGACCAGUCCUAAAAAGUGAGCCUGAGACUUGAUUUGCAAAACCAGAAACACUCCCGACUGCGGCCGCAGCAGCAAGACUAAGAAAGGUGAAAUUGCUGAAGGACCAGCUCCUCUCUGGGUCUCCCAACUGGCAUGGCAUCUGUCCUGGGGAGUGGCAGAGGGUCUGGAGGGCUAAGCAGUCAACUCAAAUGCAAGUCCAAGAGGAGGAGGAGGAGGAGGUCCAAGAGGAAAGGUAAGAAGCUCGCUCUGUGAGCGCUCCCGGUGCUGGUGCCCGCUGCAACUCUCCCCUGUCUCUCCCCCUCGUCCUUCCUCAGAUCUCGGUGGCCGCUUGUAGGUUUUCUCUUGUCUUCACUUUAGGAUGCUUCUGGGAUGUCCACCUUGAGUAGGGCACUUGUGAGUUCAAAUCUCUUUGUAAAUAGCCUGGGGGCUUUCCUCAAGCCAGGAAAUUACAGCGAGCCAGCCAGCUGCUCAGCGGAAAAUGUUUGGCAGGAGACACUGGGAAGAGAGCAGAGAGGGCUGAGCUGAGGAGCAUCCAUCCUCUGAUGCUUGUAUCCUGGGUACCACCGUCCCUACAGGAGACCCAAGGCUGGCACUUAGACACACUUGGAGCCAACAGUAUCACAGGGUGCCAAAAGAAACACUCACUUAAGCCAACACACAUAAAAAAGGGAAAGAGCUCUCGUCCCAGCUCCUCCCAUCCAAAUUGUCUCAGAGGAAAAAAGAGGGCAAAACCCUGGCAAUUGCCUUCCCAAAUUGAUUGGCUUAUUUUUUUUUUUCCUUAGUGAGAUAUCCAGUGGCCAUGUAAACACUGGCAUAGACAAAGAGGACAAAACACGUCCUUGCAGAAAUUACUGCCUAAAAAGAAACGAAUGCUGUGUCUUACUGGUAGCAAAAAAAGAAAGAAAAUUACAUCUUGCAAACCAGAAAAGAAGAGGGAACCGGGUGGCAGGUUGCAGCUGACAAACUCAGGCGGUGCCUUGUUACUAAUGUUGCUGGAAAUGAGUUCACAUAACUUAGUCAAUGUCACCACAAGCGCAGGGCUUUCACGCAAGGAUUUGUGUCAAAUUAGCAAUUCCUCCAGCGUGGUAAGCAGUGCCCUAGAAUGCAUCUUUAGCUCAUAUGCACAGAAGGAUAAAAGAUGAUUCCAAAGUUGUCCCUUCUUUCUCAGAGAGGGGCUUGCAUUGAUGCUAGUUCUUUGUGAGUUUGUAGAAGUUCAGUGUUCUUACCAGUAUCUGAAAGGUGUUUUGGUUUUCUCUAGUUUUUAAAAUGUUCGUAGUGUUAUGCAGAACGGACACAACUUAGCGAAUUGACUUUUAAAAAUUGUGCUCAUGCAGGAUACACAGGGUAGUUGUAGUAACCCUCUUAGAAUAUCUGUCUAUAGAUUAGAUAUGUUAGAGACCUUAAGAUAAGUUUCUUCUAGAUUGUUUCCUAACUCUUCCUGAAUCCCAUAUGAUUCCUAAUAGCACAAAUUAAUCAAAACAUAAAACUCUGAAGCAAACGAUCCUUGAUUAUAAUCACACAUCAGGAUCCCUGAGAGCAAAGGAGACCUAACACCUGUCUUUGAAUGUUUCAGGACCUUUGAUUUCAAAGGGGGUGAUUUUAUAAUUGUACUUUGGUUCUUAAACAGCUCAAAUGUAUACUUGAUGCUCAAUUUGUUAUCUGAAAACAUUUUGAAAUGGACUUACUGAUUUCUUCUAUGCCUAUGUGCUAUUGACUGAAAAUGGCAGGGAUAUUAAGGAAGCCAUGCUUUCAACAGUUCGACAAUGAAUAGCACUUUUAAAGAAGUAAGAAAAAAAAUGUCUUUAUACUUCAGGUGUUUGUUUGUGUCUCCUAUUUUUUUUAAUGGUCUGCUUAGCUAUUUAGAACCAAGCAAAUGCAGCAAUAUUUAUAAUAACACAAUUUAUAGAAAUGUAAGCUAAAGGAAAUUCUCAUCUUUCUUCAUUUUCUUUACCAUGAAGUAUCAGACAUACUACCUUAAUACUUAUUCUGGAAGGUAAUAAAAAGACCCCAGGAAAGUCUUCCUUUACUAUAAACUGAGCCAUGACAGCCCAAAGCAAAUUUUUUACAGCAAGUAUUUGUAUCCUUAGAAAUUUUGACUUUAGGAAGGCUUCAAAUUUUCAUAACAAAGGCAAUAGGUAAGCAUAUACAAGUCUCUAUUGUGUGUAGACCUGUAUUUAAGUGGCCUUCUCUGUGGCACCUGACAACAGCUGUUGUGGUAGGACAGUAAAACUAAACUGUUAAAUAUUCAUUUUUACUGGCAAAGUUAACAAUAUAGAUAUACAUGAUCAAAAUAAAUAAAUAAAUGAAUAAAAACUAGCAUACUCAGCCAUAGGAGAGAGUAAUUGCUUUUUACAUCUCCCAGGAAAAGAUAAGCUUGUAUGUAAUAUCGUGUAUGAUAAAUGCACGUUUCUUCUACUCCAUAAAGAGCAAUGAUGUCUUUCAAUUUUAUCUUAAUGCUCAUAUAUCUUCACUGAGAUGGAAUGGCAUAGCAUCAAGUUUUAAGCCUGACCAACAUGAAGGACCACACAUGCAUGGGAGAUAAUUAAGGAAUUCUAGGAAUGCCAUUAAGUAGCAAGUGAACAUGCUGACUAUAAAACCAUUUUCAUGCAUUAAUCAAUAUGUUAUUAAUGUAUUAAACAAGUUAAUAAGUAGAAUCAUGAUAAGUGUACAUAUGCUCAUCUGCCAGCCAAGCUCCAUUUUAAAAAAUGAACCAUAGCAUCACUUGGUCAGUAUGCCGGAGAAUCUUUAUUUUCUACGUGUAGGCUUAAAAGGUGUCUUGGGUCGAGUAUACUAUCCAACAGUCUACGCCCUAAACUGAAACACUCUAGCUACAGGCUAACUGUGGUAAUGAUAGGAUGUGAUUAUUGGUAAGCGCAAUCCAUCAUCUUGGAAAUGGGGUGGUUUCUUUCACAGGUUAGGUUUCUGUCACUGUACUACACAAGAAGUAAUGCGUAUCUUUAAAGAUCUAAAAACCAGAGAAACUUGGUCACAGAACAUGCCUCCCAGGGUCAGCUAGCAGAAGCCCAUGUUUCUCUGCAAGAAAAAACUUUAAAGAUGAUUCUUGUCUUCUUUUGUUGAGACCUCAUAUUAUUCAUCUUGGCAUGGCCUCCAUAGGGGGUGUUUUCAGUUAGGAUUUUCUUUAGAAAUCGUAUCUAAGUGGUUUACACUGCCUGGACAAAUGGGAAGUGUGAGUUUCUCAUUUUAUAGGACGCACACACAGGCAAAAUAAAAGUAUACUGAGAAGGACCGUCAAAACAUCUCAUGUUUAUACAUGUGUCAAUCUGGGGCCUGAACCCAUUUGAUGUGUAGAAUAUAGAUCUGUUCGGUCCUCCUUCAGUAUCAAUUAGAGACGUUAGCAAAACGGUGGUUAAUAAGGAGCAUCUUCUGCCAUCACUCACCACUGGGGUAUUGCCUUCAGUAGGACGUGAAGAGGGCUCAAAGAUUGGACUUAUUUCAUAAUUCCUGGCAGAAUGAUUAUAAAUAAUUUCAUCUAUUCAGUGCUUUAUAGAGAUGAGUGCUGCUGGCAGUAGAAAAUAACAGCGUGUAAAUACUGCGAAGCACUCAUUGAAACCUCAAAAAAAUAAAGGUGAAGAUUCAAGGCUUUUUGUUCAUUUUUAUUAGCAGCAGACCAUUGCAGGUAGUCCACGAGGGCUACCUCCUAAAAUCAGUGUAAUUC
rnacentral:lncRNA from 1 species